rnacentral:rRNA from 1 species
GACGAACGCUGGCGGCGUGCUUAACACAUGCAAGUCGAACGGAAAGGCCCUGCUUUUGUGGGGUGCUCGAGUGGCGAACGGGUGAGUAACACGUGAGUAACCUGCCCUUGACUUUGGGAUAACUUCAGGAAACUGGGGCUAAUACCGGAUAGGAGCUCCUGCUGCAUGGUGGGGGUUGGAAAAUUUCGGCGGUUGGGGAUGGACUCGCGGCUUAUCAGCUUGUUGGUGGGGUAGUGGCUUACCAAGGCUUUGACGGGUAGCCGGCCUGAGAGGGUGACCGGCCACAUUGGGACUGAGAUACGGCUCAGACUCCUACGGGAGGCAGCAGUGGGGAAUAUUGCACUAUGGGCGGAAGCCUGAUGCAGCAACGCCGCGUGCGGGAUGACGGCCUUCGGGUUGUAAACCGCUUUCGCCUGUGACGAAGCGUGAGUGACGGUAAUGGGUAAAGAAGCACCGGCUAACUACGUG